rnacentral:rRNA from 1 species
GACGAACGCUGGCGGCGUGCUUAACACAUGCAAGUCGAACGGAAAGGCCCUGCUUUUGUGGGCUGCUCGAGUGGCGAACGGGUGAGUAACACUUGAGUAACCUGCCCUUGACUUUGGGAUAACUUCAGGAAACUGGGGCUAAUACCGGCUAGGAGCUCCUGCCGCUUGGUGGGGGUUGGAAGGUUUCGGCGGUUGGGGGUGGACUCGCGGCCUAUCGGAUUGUUGGUGGGGUAGUGUCUUAGCAAGGCCUGGACGAGUGGCCGGGCUGAGCGGGUGACCGGACACACUGGGCCUGAGAUACGGCCCAGACUACUACGGGAGGCAGCAGUGGGGAAGAUUGUACUAUGGGCGGAAGCAUGAUGUAGCAACGCCGCGUGCGGGAUGAGGGGCUGCGGGUUGUAAUCUGCUUCCGCCUGUGACGAAGCGUUAAUGACGGUACCGGGUAAAGAAGCACCGGCUAACUACGUG